CUCCUGCUGCUGGGGGCGCUGCCAGGGCUCCGGGCGGCCGUGACCCUGCUGGAGUCCGGGGGGGACCUCCAGCCCCCCGGGGGGUCCCUGCGCCUCCUCUGCCGAGGGGAUGGAUUCCAGUUUGGGGAAUUCAGCCUGUCCUGGAUCCGCCAAAAACCCGGGAAGGCCCUGGAAUGGGUCGCAGGAAUCCACAGCGGUGGCACCACCAGCUACGCAUCGUCCGUGCGUGGCCGGUUCACCAUUGCCAGGGACAAUGGGCAGAGCUCGGUGACGCUGAGCAUGAACAACCUCCAGGACGAGGAUUCCGGGGUUUAUUUCUGCGGUAAAGCCGCUGUGGCUGGCUGGGGUGCUGAUGCUGAUAUUGCCAGAUGA